UACGGGAGGCAGCAGUGGGGAAUUUUGCGCAAUGGGCGAAAGCCUGACGCAGCAAUACCGCGUGAGUGAUGAAGGCUCUCGGGUCGUAAAGCUCUGUCAGAGGGGAAGAACCUCCUGUCGUCUAAUACGCGGCAGGCCUGACGGUACCCUCAGAGGAAGCACCGGCUAACUCCGUGCCAGCAGCCGCGGUAAU
rnacentral:rRNA from 1 species